rnacentral:rRNA from 1 species
UACGAAGGGGGCUAGCGUUGCUCGGAAUUACUGGGCGUAAAGGGCGCGUAGGCGGACAGUUUAGUCAGAGGUGAAAGCCCAGGGCUCAACCUUGGAAUUGCCUUUGAUACUGGCUGUCUUGAGUUCGGGAGAGGUGAGUGGAAUGCCGAGUGUAGAGGUGAAAUUCGUAGAUAUUCGGCGGAACACCAGUGGCGAAGGCGACUCACUGGCCCGAUACUGACGCUGAGGCGCGAAAGGCGUGGGGAGCAAACAGG